CUCCCCCACGUGCUUGCCAUCCUCGCCUUCGGCGCGGAAGACAAUCUUGCACGUGCGCGACGAUGAUCUCUGUAGUGAAGUGGUAAAACGAGAUCAUCAGCACUCUCGGAAUCGUGUAUACCGUUUUACCCCUUUUUUUUCAUGACUGACUUUGCCGCUGGAUAGCUCGGCAUGGGUCAAUGAGUUUUGUCCCAAAAAAAUAGAGUGUUAUCUUGGAAUGCCAAUAAAUAUGUAGUAAAAAUUU